GGACUUGUAGCUCAAUGGCAGAGCGUACCAGUCGUAUUGGUGUCUUGCAGGUUCAAAUCCUACCAAGUCCG
rnacentral:tRNA from 1 species